rnacentral:lncRNA from 1 species
AAAUAAUAACGAACUAGCAUAGCAUGGCUAUUACAACAUUAGUCUCUACUAACUGAAAGUAUACAAGGGCAGAAGUUUGACAACUAAAUCUACUAUAGGAUAGGCAUGUCCUAUUAUACACAAACAAAUAACUACAUGACUCUAAUGAAAGAAGUAUUCUACUGUGUAUACGAGCAAGUAAACAACUACAGCGAAUUGAAAACUUCAACUAUUCAUUUCUUAUUCAUGCUUCAAUUUUCAUUCUACAAGAACCACUGUAUCAAUUGUGUACCUAGUAUUUGGAAAGAAAAGAAGAGGAAGAAGUCAGUAGUGCAGCAGUAGUACAACACAACAACAAUAGGUUCAGUAACCACAACAGUAAACAAGUAACAAACAGUGCAAGAAGAUCCUAGGAAUAGAUUAACCAAAUAGAAAACUCAAGAAAACCCAGUAACAACUUCAAGAAACCCAACAGCAACACCAAAUGAAUACUCGUAGUACCAGGAAAACAAACAACAACCAAAGUAGAGAAUGCCAAUAACUUUCUGAUUUUAAACACUCGAGAAGAAAAAUAGACUCAAGCUCUUCGGUACUAAGCUUAGCCCACCACUCACUCUAUCACUAACUUCACUAGACAAGAGUCAACCUCACACUCAAGAUAGAAUUUCUACAACUACUGACUUUCUAUGAUUUUUUAAUAUCAGUCCUAUUCUUUCGAUCCUCAACUCUCAAGAUUGAAAGUCUAUUUUUUUUCUUUAGUUCUGAAAAUCUGGUCUACCUUUUUCAGUUCUGAAAUUUCUAUCUCCAAAAAUUCCUCCCCUAAACUCUUAAGUUUUGAAAUUUUUAUCUCUCAAAUCCUCAUUUUUAAGUAUCAAAUGACUCCUCUUUUAUACCACAAGACAAGACCCUUUCUUCACUCUUUUCUUAUUAUUACAACCCCUUUUUCUCUUUUACUUUCCAGCCCAAUAUUCUUCUACUAUGUGUAUCUUUUGACUUUUAUUAUUAACUAUAUUAUUUCUGAUUUCCAAUUAAUUAAGAACAGUCAAUACGGACCCCACAGUUCCUCUCUUCAUUUGUCAAACAAGACCUUUUAUUAUUAUCCCCCCUUUUACAUUACAUCAUUAUGUCUUGUCCCCCACUGACCCUUGUCCCCUCUUAUUUUAAUUAAGGCCCACCUUUAAUCGAUUCCCAAAAUACCCACAAAAUUACUAAAAAAUACUACUCUACCCCCCAUCAGCUAUAACAUAUUCACCUAAUCAAUUAACCAAGAUACAGCAGAUAUAGCCAAUUCCUAAUCAAACUCAAUCAAUAAAUUCAAACUACAUGUUGAACAACAAAGAACCAACUGCAAUUAUCUUGACUGAACAAAAUUUUUAACAAAUAUACUUUCAGAUUCAACAACAAUAACAAACAAGUAGAUUCAAAUCACUAAACAAAAAUUAUCAAUUGAACCUCAAACUAAAUCCAACAAUAUUAUAACCAAGAUGAAGGAUUCAGGUGAUUAAACCAACACACUUCUAUAUUAAAACUAAACAAGGACAAAUGAAUAAAAACAAACUAAAGGAAUAAUCAAGAAAUGUAACGAACAAGAAAAUAAUCAAACAUAUACUAAUUUUAGAUUCGAUAAUAUAAAAAAAAUACGGACACAAAUGAGACUUAAACCAACUAACCGAAUCGAAACAACGACAAAUUCGAAUGGAAACAAAUCUGCCCGGAAACUUUGAAGCCAAAAAAAAUAACUCGAAUCUGCCCGGAAUCUCAACAAAGACCUCGAACUACUUAUUCUUUGAACUCGAACGGAACUAAUAAUCAACGAACAAACCUGGAGUUGACGACAAACGACCUCAACGACCUCAUACUAGAUGACGAAGACGACGAAGACUGGACUAACUGGACGACAAAUUGAACGAGCUGGACGACGAACUGGACGAGCUGGAGUUCGCUAGGCUAUGGCUGGUGGUGGUGUUUGGCUGGAAGAAAAAUGGUAAGGGCAACCAUGGUUGAUGGGCUGAUGAAAAUGGCUGUGAAGGUGACGGAGUUGGAUGUUUGGACAGUAGAUUUGGAGCUGGUUCGCGGGCGGUCCAUGGGGGUCGUUUGGUGAACGAGAUGGUGGUCGUUUGGGCAGGGCGUGGGGCUGCUGGUUACGUGAGGAAGAUGAGAUGGAGGCUGGUUGUUCAUGGCUUCUGUCGUGACAAGGUAGGGGGAGGGGCUGUUUGGAUGAUAAGGGUGGUGUGCGGAAGAUGAAAAAAAAUAGGGGGUUAGGUGCCUAGGUGAGUGGCGGCUGGAGGAGAAUAGGGGUUGGGG